GAAGGGCUGCUCGUGGUGCAGGUUCUGACCUUCAGGAGGGAUACUCCUCAAGUUACUGAAACAUCCUGACUUGAGAAAGUGGUAUUUUUAUAGAGUUAAAAAGAAACUUCUGAUCAUUUGUAUACACGCAUUCUCUUAUAAUUUUAUGCUAUAAUGCUGUUGCAGACAUUUUUCUUUUGACCAAAAUUGGCUUGUGGUUUCUUGUUUUAAUUGAAAAAUUUUUGGGUCUCUCCAGAAUACAUGUGGGUCUCUAGCCCCGCUGAAGGCUGUUUGAGGUUUGUUUAGUAAUAUUUCUUUGUUGUUCUUUGAAAGCUCAGGCCCUCAGCCUGUUUAUUACUAAAUGAGGGAAUUAUGUGAUUGAAAAGUUAUUUAACGUGAAGCGUUUUCUAGUGAAGGGCUUUGAGUC
rnacentral:lncRNA from 1 species